GUUUGAUCCUGGCUCAGGAUGAACGCUAGCGGCAGGCUUAACACAUGCAAGUCGUGGGGCAGCGCGGGGUAGCAAUACUCUGGCGGCGACCGGCAAACGGGUGCGGAACACGUACGCAACCUUCCUCAGAGCGGGGAAUAGCCUCUCGAAAGAGAGAUUAAUACCCCAUAGUAUCCCGGAACCGCAUGGUUUUGGGAUUAAAGCUCCGGCACUUUGAGAUGGGCGUGCGGCUGAUUAGGUAGUUGGUAGGGUAACGGCCUACCAAGCCAACGAUCAGUAGCUGAUGUGAGAGCAUGAUCAGCCACACGGGCACUGAGACACGGGCCCGACUCCUACGGGAGGCAGCAGUGAGGAAUAUUGGUCAAUGGAGGCAAACUCUGAACCAGCCAUGCCGCGUGAAGGAUGAAGGUCCUCUGGAUUGUAAACUUCUUUUAUAGAAGAAGAAACCCCGGUAUUCUUACCGGGUUGACGGUACUCUAUGAAUAAGCACCGGCUAACUCCGUGCCAGCAGCCGCGGUAA
rnacentral:rRNA from 1 species